AGGUACAAGAUACAGCUCUGAGCCAAGAGGCGGAAGUCGAAGCUCCCACAGAGGUGGAAGAUGCAGCUGUGAGCCAGGAGGUACAAGAUACAGCUCUGAGCCAAGAGAUGGAAGUUGCAGCUGUGAGCCAG